GACGAACGCGGCGGCGUGCCUAAUACAUGCAAGUAGAACGCUGAAGGAGGAGCUUGCUCUUCUGGAUGAGUUGCGAACGGGUGAGUAACGCGUAGGUAACCUGCCUGGUAGCGGGGGAUAACUAUUGGAAACGAUAGCUAAUACCGCAUAAGAGUAGAUGUUGCAUGACAUUUGCUUAAAAGGUGCAAUUGCAUCACUACCAGAUGGACCUGCGUUGUAUUAGCUAGUUGGUGAGGUAACGGCUCACCAAGGCGACGAUACAUAGCCGACCUGAGAGGGUGAUCGGCCACACUGGGACUGAGACACGGCCCAGACUCCUACGGGAGGCAGCAGUAGGGAAUCUUCGGCAAUGGACGGAAGUCUGACCGAGCAACGCCGCGUGAGUGAAGAAGGUUUUCGGAUCGUAAAGCUCUGUUGUAAGAGAAGAACGAGUGUGAGAGUGGAAAGUUCACACUGUGACG
rnacentral:rRNA from 1 species